AAAAGUUUUAUUUUGGCUUAAAAAUUGAAUUAAAUUUAGUUUUACAUGUAAAUUUUAAUAUAAAAAUAAAAGAAAUUUAAAUAAUUUUAGUUUUUUAAUUUGUUCUCAGUAAAGAAAUUUAUAUAAUUAAUGAAAAUUAGAUAUAGGUAUAAUUUUAAAUAUUAACAAAAUUUGUGCCAGCAGUUGCGGUUACACAAAUAAUAUAAUUUUAUUAGGUAAGUUAUAAUUAAUUGAUAAAAAUUGAUUUUAAAUUUAGGGUUAUUAGGUGAAAUUUUAAUUUUAAUAAGAAAAUUAUUUUAUUGUUAAUGAAGUUAAAAAAUUUUUAAAUAAAGACUAGGAUUAGAUACCCUAUUAUUAUAAAUGUAAAUUUUAAAUUCUUGAUUAUUAUAAGUUUAUGAUCUUUAAAAUUAAAAAUUUUGGCGGUAUUUUAGUCUAUUCAGAGGAAUCUGUCCUGUAAUCGAUACUCCACGAUUUAAUUUACUUUUUUUAGAAAUUUAUAUAUCGUCGUAGGUUGAAUAUUUUAAAAGAAUUUUAAUGUUCAAUAUUUUUUAAUUUUAAGGUAAAUCAGAUCAAGGUGUAGUUUAUAAAAAAGAAGAGAUGGGUUACAAUAAAUUAAUUUUAGAAUUAAAUUAUUAAAAUUUUUAUGAAUAUGGAUUUGAUUGUAAUUUUUAUGAGUUUUUAAAAAUGAUUUAAGCUCUAAAAUAUGUACAUAUUGCCCGUCGCUUUCACUUUAAAGUGGAAUAAGUCGUAACAAAGUAGGCUUACUGGAAAGUGAGCCUAGAAAGAAC
rnacentral:ncRNA from 1 species